UACUGCAUUCGGAACUGAUUGGG
rnacentral:miRNA from 1 species